AUUGAACGCUGGCGGCAGGCCUAACACAUGCAAGUCGAGCGGGGUUUUCGGACCUAGCGGCGGACGGGUGAGUAAUGCGUAGGAAGCUACCCGAUAGAGGGGGAUACCAGUUGGAAACGACUGUUAAUACCGCAUAAUGUCUACGGACCAAAGUGUGGGACCUUCGGGCCACAUGCUAUCGGAUGCGCCUACGUGGGAUUAGCUAGUUGGUGAGGUAAUGGCUCACCAAGGCGACGAUCCCUAGCUGGUUUGAGAGGAUGAUCAGACACACUGGAACUGAGACACGGUCCAGACUCCUACGGGAGGCAGCAGUGGGGAAUAUUGGACAAUGGGCGCAAGCCUGAUCCAGCCAUGCCGCGUGUGUGAAGAAGGCCUUCGGGUUGUAAAGCACUUUCAGUAGGGAGGAAGGGUGUUGUGUUAAUAGCACAGCAUUUUGACGUUACCUACAGAAGAAGCACCGGCUAACUCUGUGCCAGCAGCCGCCGUAAGAC
rnacentral:rRNA from 1 species